UACGGAGGGGGCUAGCGUUGCUCGGAAUCACUGGGCGUAAAGCGCACGUAGGCGGGUUCUUAAGUCAGGGGUGAAAUCCUGGAGCUCAACUCCAGAACUGCCUUUGAUACUGGGAAUCUCGAGUCCGGGAGAGGUGAGUGGAACUGCGAGUGUAGAGGUGAAAUUCGUAGAUAUUCGCAAGAACACCAGUGGCGAAGGCGGCUCACUGGCCCGGUACUGACGCUGAGGUGCGAAAGCGUGGGGAGCAAACAGG
rnacentral:rRNA from 1 species